GCAUCGGUGGUCCAAGGGUCAAGAUUCGACAUUCCCAAGAUUACCUAAUAUGUUCUCUUGCGGAGACAUGGUGACAUGUCGAGAACCGGGUUCGAGUCCCGGCCGAUGCA